GACGAACGCUGGCGGCGUGCUUAACACAUGCAAGUCGAACGGAAAGGCCCUGCUUUUGUGGGGAGCUCGAGUGGAGAAGGGGGGAGUAACACGUGAGUAACGUGCCCUUGACUUUGGGAUAACUUAAGGAAACUGGGGCUAAUAGCGGCAAGGAGCUACUGCUGCAUGGUGGGGGUUGGAAAGUUUCGGCGGUUGGGGAUGGACUGGCGGCUUAUCAGCUUGUUGGGGGGGUAGUGGCUUACCAAGGCUUUGACGCGUAGCCGGCCUGCGAGGGUAACCUGCCACACUGGGACGGAGAUACGGCCCAGACUCCAACGGGAGGCAGCAGUGGGGAAUAUUGCACAAUGGGCUGAAGCCUGAUGCAGCAACGCCGCGUGCCGUAUGACGUCCUUCGGGUUGUAUUCCGCUUUCGCCUUUGACGAAGCGUUAGUGACGGUAAUGGGUAAAGAAGCUCCGGCUAACUACGUG
rnacentral:rRNA from 1 species